rnacentral:rRNA from 1 species
AAGAGACAGCAGUCGCCACGGGAAUACGGAGGGUGCAAGCGUUAUCCGGAUUUAUUGGGUUUAAAGGGUCCGUAGGCGGAUCUGUAAGUCAGUGGUGAAAUCUUACAGCUUAACUGUGAAACUGCCAUUGAUACUGCAGGUCUUGAGUAAAUUUGAAGUGGCUGGAAUAAGUAGUGUAGCGGUGAAAUGCAUAGAUAUUACUUAGAACACCAAUUGCGAAGGCAGGUCACUAAGAUUUAACUGACGCUGAUGGACGAAAGCGUGGGGAGCGAACAGGAUUAGAUACCCCGGUAGUCCCUGUCUCUUAUAC